rnacentral:lncRNA from 1 species
CCCCUCCCCACUCCUGAGCCUGACGUCGCAUUAACCCGCGUCACCACGCAGGCGAAAGGAGUGGAUUCUUUGCUGCAUCCUGGAUCGAAUUUGCCGAUCUCACCGACAGAUGGUCCGGCCAAGUCGACGUCAGAUGUCCCGCUGUUCGAUGAUGGGACGUCAAACAAUCUGGUGCCAGGCGAUCGGGUGCCAGACGAUUCGAUGUCAGGCGAUCGG